rnacentral:rRNA from 1 species
UGCCAGCAGCCGCGGUAAUACGAAGGGAGCUAGCGUUGUUCGGAAUGACUGGGCGUAAAGGGCGUGUAGGCGGUCAAGCAGGUGAGAUGUGAAAUCCCCGGGCUCAACCUGGGAAUGGCAUUUCAAACGGCUUGACUUGAGUGCGGGAGGGGAAAGCGGAAUGGCCAGUGUAGCGGUGAAAUGCGUUGAUAUUGGCUGGAACACCAGAGGCGAAGGCGGCUUUCUGGCUCGCAACUGACGCUGAGGCGCGAAAGCGUGGGGAGCAAACAGGAUUAGAUA